AUUCACCAGAUGCUUAACGGGCUUAAAAUAGGUUCCAGGGGAGGUCCAGGACACUGCACUGCCAAGGACAGAGCACCACUCAACCACAGGGUUCUUGCUGUUGUUAACACUUCACACCCUGACUCUCUGCAGACAUUUCCUCCUGAGACACUCGUUGCAGCUCUCUGAGACAAGCUCUUCCGGCCUGCUGGGAGUGUCAGGUGGCAAGAUGGAAGAGAUUUCCAGCUGUGACUUAUAAUCACACCGCCUCAAUGUAUAUAUUGCAAGGAUGAAUAGCCUUUACCUCAAUAAACAGCAGUUAAAUUGGACAGAACAACAAGAGAUCACUCCUGUAUAAACAUUUUGAUCGGAUGACUCUAACUUGAAGGUCUGGUGGAGGUCAUCUUGAUGAGAACACAGAGAAUCAUCACUGUUAUGCUCAUUAAUUUGAAUCAUCAGUGUCCAUGAAACCUUUUGUCCUAACCAAUGGUUCUCUUAUGGGAAUAAUAAACCAAGAAGUUAUGAUACCAAGUUGGAGAAACCACUUAAGGCCACAUAAUGGGCAACCCCCUGGUCUCCAGAGGCUAGAGUUGAUCACCUGAGGGAUGAACUGGGUAUCCAGGUCUUAACAUCCACUGUUCUCCCACUUAGUACCGGCUUCGGAUUCUCAGACCUUUCUGUUUCA